UGUCAUCGCCGCGGGGCCCGGGUGGGAGGGGUUUGGCAGCGGCAGGCGCGGCGGCGGCGGCGGA
rnacentral:precursor_RNA from 1 species